UGGGGAAUAUUGCGCAAUGGGGGGAACCCUGACGCAGCCAUGCCGCGUGAAUGAAGAAGGCCUUAGGGUUGUAAAGUUCUUUCGGUAUUGAGGAAGGUUGAUGUGUUAAUAGCACAUCAAAUUGACGUUAAAUACAGAAGAAGCACCGGCUAACUCCGUGCCAGCAGCCGCGGUAAUACGGAGGGUGCGAGCGUUAAUCGGAAUAACUGGGCGUAAAGGGCACGCAGGCGGUUAUUUAAGUGAGGUGUGAAAGCCCCGGGCUUAACCUGGGAAUCGCAUUUCAGACUGGGUAACUAGAGUACUUUAGGGAGGGGUAGAAUUCCACGUGUAGCGGUGAAAUGCGUAGAGAUGUGGAGGAAUACCGAAGGCGAAGGCAGCCCCUUGGGAAUGUACUGACGCUCAUGUGCGAAAGCGUGGGGAGCAAACAGGAUUAGAUACCCUGGUAGUCCACGCUGUAAACGCUGUCGAUUUGGGGGUUGGGGUUUAACUCUGGCGCCCGUAGCUAACGUGAUAAAUCGACCGCCUGGGGAGUACGGCCGCAAGGUUA
rnacentral:rRNA from 1 species